rnacentral:lncRNA from 1 species
CUCGCAAAAUCACAACGCAAUUUAUGAAUAAUUCAAACAAAUAAAUUACGCUCGAUGAAAAGAGUAAAAGGACCGACGAAAGGAACAAAGAGAUUAACAAAAACCUAUUCCUGUGAAUAAAUAUAUCGAUCAGAUACAUCGAUCUCCAUAAAUACAUUAAAACUCAGGCCAUCUAUGCUGUACUUAAUUAUUUCAAGAUUUUAAGAUUUUGUUAAGAGGUUAAGAUUUUGUUUUAGCGUUUACUGGCCGCGCCAUCUAUUCAGUGAUUUGUCAGUAAGUAAUAGAUGUCGCCAAACGAUCAAAAUAGUUUUUAUCUGGUACGUAUGUAUUAUUUUACAGACAGGAUCGUUUACCGAGGUCUGGUGUUAAUCUUGUGGUUAAUGCCGCGCCGUUAUUGAAUGUUAUAAAUUGUAUAAAAUCGCUAUAAUUGAAAGGUCUAGAAUAUAAUCUAUGUAGAUUCUAAUAUAACCUAUUAUAGAAAUGGGAACAAAAAGGCGACCAUACACAAUUUAUAGACAUUGGCAAAACAAUGGUUAAUAUUAAUUAAUCUAAAUGGUGAAACAAUCGAAAGUGGAUGAAAAUUGAUUUUGUAUAGACAUUCGAGUUCAGUGAUUCUAAAUGCAUCUGUUCCAUAUUGGGAUUUUAGAACGAAAUAAAUGUGUAUUUUAGCUACGUUCUAAAGUGCAUAUAGUCCUUAUGCAGAUUUUAACUGUCAGCCGUUUAUUGCAGUUAAACAUGGAAUUAUAAAGUUCCAUAAGAAUUAAAGUGUGUUUCUAACUAUGUUCUAAAAGUUUAUAUAAAUUUUACCACGUGUCAAUCAUACGUUACUGAUACACAUGGAACAAGAGCGAUACAGGUGUUCAAAUACUUAUGCACGAUAGAGCAUAUACCUCACUAGAGAUGAAGGGAUUAAAGAAGUCCGCUCUGCUAUGUUUACUAUAUAUAUAAUUCCGACGAAAAGGUAGAGUAGCAGAUUCCACAGCAGUUGAAAUUGUGGCAAAUAUUUCCGUAAUUUGCUUUUCGGAUUACCCCUUCCGAUGAUUUCAAUCCUCGUCCAUUAAUUCUAUCGUUAACGAAACGCGCGAUUUAAUUACCUACAUUGGCCUGAUAGAAAUUCGAUAAAUAAUAUUACCACCGAUGAAAUAUAGCCAAUUAAAUAAAUAACAUGGCAUCACGGUGCGGCGUGACACGAUCAUAGAAACUUUACGAUAUAGGUGAUCACAACAUGACGCAAUGAAAUCACCAAUUUAUGGAUAAGUAGAUGCUUAUUAUUGCUUGUACAUUGUAUUCAUCAAGGUGAUCUUUAACAGGGUAAACUACAUUUUGGUAGCCAUAUUUUUAUAACGCGAUAUUCUUCUGUUUGCUUUUGUUUCAUUGAUGAAUUAUAAUUUUCUAAUUACAUUAAAUCACAAUUAAGCAAAUGUUCAAAUUUUUGUCUGUAUUUCUGUCCGAAAUUGGAAGAGAAAGGGCAGUUUGGCGAGAAACGAACGAAAUACAAGGUAAACGAGUAAACUGAUAUGUUAAAAGCUAUUAAAAAGUUUACGCGCGUAAUUGUAACGAGAUCCAUUAAUGAUCGGUUUUUUCUAUCUCCUUACGACUACCUACGACCUACGCUUUGAUCUUUGCGCAACUAAUAACAGCGAGGACAGCAAGAAAUGAACCGCGAAUUGGAUAACAAAGCUCUUAUCGGGCUGGAUGAAUUCAUGUUUCAUGCUCCUAUGUAAAUAGGAAGGAAACGAGAUCAGAAACAGGUCCAUUAACAAUUGUAGUUACAGAUUCUAGAAUUUCAUGCACAGCCUACAGCUGAUUAGUUCGAUAAUUUCCUUUCGUUGCUUGAUCUGAUGUUACAAGUUGUUUGGUGGCCCUUUGGCCCAGCUAAAAAGCUAACUGUGCGAUACAUAGGCGAAAAUUGUUGCACGGUAGCUAGUGAAAAAUAGCUUUUGGAGAAAGCGAGAGGUUUGUCGAGCUUUGGCUAGUCGUGUCCUUUGGGAAUACGAGCGACAAUAGGUUUACGGGUCGACAAGCUCGGCAUAUCCACUGUAUAUCGAUUAACCGUAGAAUGAUCAAAAUUGGCGAUAAAUGCAACACUGUCGUGAUGCGAAUAAUUAUCAUCGAUCAUACUUUCGAAACACGAGAAUGAACGUUUGG